ensembl:miRNA
GGGACGGGGCCUGCAGGCAGAAGUGGGGCUGACAGGGCAGAGGGUUGCGCCCCCUCACCACCCCUUCUGCCUGCAGCGGUGGGCU